GAUGAACGCUGGCGGCGUGCUUAACACAUGCAUGUCGAACGGAAAGGCCCAAGCUUGCUUGGGUACUCGAGUGGCGAACGGGUGAGUAACACGUGGGUGAUCUGCCCUGCACUUCGGGAUAAGCCUGGGAAACUGGGUCUAAUACCGGAUAGGACCACUUCUUGGAUGUUGUGGUGGAAAGUUUUUUCGGUGUGGGAUGAGCUCGCGGCCUAUCAGCUUGUUGGUGGGGUAAUGGCCUACCAAGGCGUCGACGGGUAGCCGGCCUGAGAGGGUGUACGGCCACAUUGGGACUGAGAUACGGCCCAGACUCCUACGGGAGGCAGCAGUGGGGAAUAUUGCACAAUGGGCGCAAGCCUGAUGCAGCGACGCCGCGUGGGGGAUGACGGCCUUCGGGUUGUAAACUCCUUUCGCUAGGGACGAAGCGUUUUGUGACGGUACCUGGAGAAGAAGCACCGGCUAACUACGUG
rnacentral:rRNA from 1 species